CCGCCCUCCCCACAGCCGCCCUCCUCCGGCUUCCGCAGCGCUCGGACACAGCAGUGGGCACACGGCAGCCACCGACCCGCGCUACUCUGCCCCUUCCCCAGCCCCUCCACACCCAGAAGUCCCCCCAGCCGCCAGGACCCACCCAGGGCACUGAGGCCAUCGUCCCAAGGCCAGAGUCCCAAGGCAGGGAAGCAAGUCUGUGGUUACAGCGACUGGAGGAGAUCUGGAAUGACUAGACAGGCUUCAGCACACAUAGGCAAAGCCCUGCUAAGCUCCAGUGCUGCCCUGGCACCGUGGAGCCCCCCGGCACUUGGAGGGCAGAGUGCUUAGCUGGGAGGGCAGGAGAGGCACCCACUCACCAGCAGGCUCCUCUGCAUCCUGUACCUGGGAUCACCAGCUGUGCCCAGCUGUGCUGUCUCCCACUGCAUCACUGCCAUCCAGGAAGACCAGUGGACCUGAGCUGGACACACACAGGAUCACCACCCUCCUUCACCUAUGUCUGUCCAAGGGGACUCCCCCUGCUCUGAUGGUGACAGCGGACAAGUCAAUGAAGCCGCCUCCCUGCCUGCUUCCAAGGUCCUGUGCUCAGUCACUGCCAUGCUCUGUCCCUGCCUGGAUCCCCUCUCACGUGUGUUGGCCUGACCCUACCCACCCCAGAGACUUCCAAGCCAGCCACUGGAUCCUGAGGGUUUCUUCGUCUGGGCACAUCAGCUGCUCAGUCCAACAGGAAUGGACCCAUCUUUUGCUAGUGGAAGGGUGACUCCCUGGAGGUUAGUGAAGAAUUAGAAAUAAUUUAAUUUACCUCCCUGUUCGGGUGCUUUGAUGAGCUGAAAAGCCCCUUGUCAGGAAGCAAAUCCAUCUUCCUCCAGCCUUACAUCAAAUUUCAUUCACUAAUUAGAAACUCCUGCCCUAGACCAUGCUGCCCCCACCCUGGCCACCCCUUUUCCCCACCAGCACCAUUAUGAAAAUAAAUUGUUCCAUUAGCUGCA
rnacentral:lncRNA from 1 species